GAUGAACGCUGGCGGCGUGCCUAAUACAUGCAAGUCGAGCGAACAGACGAGGAGCUUGCUCCUCUGACGUUAGCGACGGACGGGUGAGUAACACGUGGAUAACCUACCUGUAAGACUGGGAUAACUUCGGGAAACCGGAGCUAAUACCGGAUAAUAUAUUGAACCGCAUGGUUCAAUAGUGAAAGACGGUUUUGCUGUCACUUAUAGAUGGAUCCGCGCCGCAUUAGCUAGUUGGUAAGGUAACGGCUUACCAAGGCGACGAUGCGUAGCCGACCUGAGAGGGUGAUCGGCCACACUGGAACUGAGACACGGUCCAGACUCCUACGGGAGGCAGCAGUAGGGAAUCUUCCGCAAUGGGCGAAAGCCUGACGGAGCAACGCCGCGUGAGUGAUGAAGGUCUUCGGAUCGUAAAACUCUGUUAUUAGGGAAGAACAAAUGUGUAAGUAACUAUGCACGUCUUGACGGUACCUAAUCAGAAAGCCACGGCUAACUACGUG
rnacentral:rRNA from 1 species